AAUUUUGGACAAUGGGGGCAACCCUGAUCCAGCCAUGCCGCGUGUGUGAAGAAGGUCUUCGGAUUGUAAAGCACUUUACGUUGGGAGGAAGGGCUUUAGGUUAAUACCCUGAAGUUUUGACGUUACCAACAGAAUAAGUACCGGCUAACUCUGUGCCUGCAGCCCCGGUAAUACAGAGGGUUCAAGCGUUAAUCGGAAUUACUGGGCGUAAAGCGAGCGUAGGUAGUUCAGUAAGAUGGGUGUGAAAUCCCCGGGCUUAACCUGGGAACUGCUUUCAUAACUGCUGAGCUAGAGUACGGUAGAGGGUAGUGGAAUUUCCUGUGUAGCGGUGAAAUGCGUAGAUAUAGGAAGGAACACCAGUGGCGAAGGCGACUACCUGGACUGAUACUGACACUGAGGUGCGAAAGCGUGGGGAGCAAACAG
rnacentral:rRNA from 1 species